rnacentral:rRNA from 1 species
GAGUUUGAUCGUGGCUCAGGAUGAACGCUGGCGGCGUGCUUAACACAUGCAAGUCGAACGAAGCACUCUAUUUGAUUUUCUUCGGAAAUGAAGAUUUUGUGACUGAGUGGCGGACGGGUGAGUAACGCGUGGGUAACCUGCCUCAUACAGGGGGAUAACAGUUGGAAACGACUGCUAAUACCGCAUAAGCGCACAGGAUCGCAUGAUCCGGUGCGAAAAACUCCGGUGGUAUGAGAUGGACCCGCGUCUGAUUAGCCAGUUGGCAGGGUAACGGCCUACCAAAGCGACGAUCAGUAGCCGACCUGAGAGGGUGACCGGCCACAUUGGGACUGAGACACGGCCCAAACUCCUACGGGAGGCAGCAGUGGGGAAUAUUGCACAAUGGGGGAAACCCUGAUGCAGCGACGCCGCGUGAGCGAAGAAGUA